GACGAACGCGGGCGGCGUGCCUAAUACAUGCAAGUAGAACGCUGAAGGAGGAGCUUGCUUCUCUGGAUGAGUUGCGAACGGGUGAGUAACGCGUAGGUAACCUGCCUGGUAGCGGGGGAUAACUAUUGGAAACGAUAGCUAAUACCGCAUAACAGUAGAUAUCGCAUGAUAGCUGCUUGAAAGGUGCAAUUGCACCACUACCAGAUGGACCUGCGUUGUAUUAGCUAGUUGGUGAGGUAACGGCUCACCAAGGCGACGAUACAUAGCCGACCUGAGAGGGUGAUCGGCCACACUGGGACUGAGACACGGCCCAGACUCCUACGGGAGGCAGCAGUAGGGAAUCUUCGGCAAUGGACGGAAGUCUGACCGAGCAACGCCGCGUGAGUGAAGAAGGUUUUCGGAUCGUAAAGCUCUGUUGUAAGAGAAGAACGAGUGUGAGAGUGGAAAGUUCACAC
rnacentral:rRNA from 1 species